GCCUGGGUGGCUCAGUCGGUGAAGCGUCCGACUUCGGCUCAGGUCAUGAUCUCGCGGUUCGUGGGUUCGAGCCCCGCGUCGGGCU
rfam:Felis catus isolate Cinnamon breed Abyssinian chromosome B2, whole genome shotgun sequence.